AGAAUCAACGCUGGCGGCGUGCCUCAGACAUGCAAGUCGAACGCGAAAGCCCCCUUCGGGGGACAAGUAGAGUGGCGCACGGGUGAGUAACACGUAGGUAAUCUACCUUUGGAUGGGGAAUAACAACCGGAAACGGUUGCUAAUACCGCAUGAUGCAGCGGCACCUAAUGGUGACAGUUGUUAAAGCGGGGGAUCGAAAGACCUCGCGUCUGGAGAGGAGCCUGCGGCGGAUUAGGCUAGUUGGUAAGGUAAUGGCUUACCAAGGCUACGAUCC
rnacentral:rRNA from 1 species